rnacentral:rRNA from 1 species
CGGUUGAUCCUGCCGGAGGUUACUGCUAUCGGAGUUCGAUUAAGCCAUGCGAGUCUAAAGGUUUCUUUGGAAACCUUGGCGGACUGCUCAGUAACACGUGGACAACCUACCCUUUGGACUGGGAUAACCCCGGGAAACUGGGGAUAAUACCGGAUAGAUCAAGGAUGCUGGAAUGCGCCUUGAUCCAAAGCUCCGGCGCCAAAGGAUGGGUCUGCGGCCUAUCAGGUAGUAGUGGGUGUAACGUACCUACUAGCCAACGACGGGUACGGGUUGUGAGAGCAAGAGCCCGGAGAUGGAUUCUGAGACACGAAUCCAGGCCCUACGGGGUGCAGCAGGCGCGAAACCUUUACAAUGUGCGAAAGCAUGAUAAGGGAACUCCGAGUGCCAGUAUCUAAUACUGGCUGUCCUUGUGCCUAAAACGCACAAGAUAGCAAGGGCCGGGUAAGACCGGUGCCAGCCGCCGCGGUAACACCGGCGGCCCGAGUGGUAGCCGCUAUUAUUGGGUCUAAAGGGUCCGUAGCCGGUUCGAUAAGUCCUCUGGGAAAUCUGGUUGCUUAACAAUCAGACUGCCAAGGGAUACUGUCGAACUUGAGACCGGGAGAGGUAAGAGGUACUUCAGGGGUAGGAGUGAAAUCCUGUAAUCCCUGGGGGACCAUCUGUGGCGAAGGCGUCUUACCAGAACGGGUCUGACGGUGAGGGACGAAAGCUGGGGGCGCAAACCGGAUUAGAUACCCGGGUAGUCCCAGCCGUAAACGAUGCUCGCUAUGUGUC